AACGUAGGAGGCGAGCGUUAUCCGGAUUUACUGGGCGUAAAGCGUGUGUAGGCGGUUUGAUAAGUUGGAUGUGAAAGCUCCCGGCUCAACUGGGAGAGGUCGUUCAAAACUAUCAGACUCGAGAGUGGUAGAGGGAGGUGGAAUUCCGCGUGUAGUGGUGAAAUGCGUAGAUAUGCGGAGGAACACCAGUGGCGAAAGCGGCCUCCUGGCCCAUUUCUGACGCUCAGACACGAAAGCUAAGGUAGCAAACGGGAUUAGAGACCCCGGUAGUCUUAGCUGUAAACGAUGUGAACUUAGUGUCGGUGGGGUUAAAUCCAUCGGUACUGAAGCUAACGCGAUAAGUUCACCGCCUGAGGACUACGGCCGCAAGGUUAAA
rnacentral:rRNA from 1 species